UUUCCCAUUCUACAUUUCAUAAAUUCAAGGAAAGACAGAUUGUAGGGAUAGAAUGCAAAGUGAGUUCUGAUAUCAGUCUAAUUAACGUGUGUUGUUAUUUGAAGAAAUAAAAAAUACAUAAACUAAAUUAUCUUAAAUGAUUUUUGUUGGCUGUAUAUUCUAGCUAGCAAACCUCAUCUCUGCAACUAAGUAGCUCAGUGACUUUGAACAAAUUACAUGACCUUUCCGGGUUUAAAAAGAAAUUUGAGACAUUAUUGGGCCAUCGACCCAUCAUAUAUUCUUCAAGAUGCUGUAUAAAAGUGUGCCUGGGUAUGGUCUCAAACAUAUCUCAUUGUAUAGCAUAUGAAAUGAAAACAAAACAAAACAAAAAGAAAACCUCUAAAAUGAGGUGCUUAUAGCAGUCCACAGACAACUCCAGCCACAUUCCAUCUGAAGAUCAGAGACAAAUCAUACCAGGUGGCAUCUGCUUCCGUUAAACUACACAUGUAGCUUGGUAAGUGCUUAUUAUUGGCAGAUUUUACUAAUAUUAAUCCCAGAUUUGCAAUAUGAAAAGCCUCUGACACCUCCUGUGUCUUUUGAAAGCUGGUUUCUUCUUAAUGUUAUGUUUACUGACAGCAUAGUUUAUACAUAAUGAGUCUCAAGAGAUUUUUUUCUUAACAUUUAACUGAGUCUCCCAUCUUUGGCAGUACUUGUAGACACCUAUGGAUGCAGCACCAUGUAAAUGUAUACAACUACUCAGUAACCCUGGUAAAACCAUAGAAAUGCAGUGCCUGUCCUUAGGAGGAUCUCUAUAAAUUCAUGCUAAAAAAUGAGUAAAUCUUAAUGUGGCAUGAUAUACGGACUAGGAAGCUCACGGAUUUGAAGCUAUUCUAACCUCAGAUUAAAUAACAGUUCUAAAUAACUCUAAGUAGGUUGUUUUGAGAAAAUUGCUCCCACUCUCUGAGUUGUUUCCUCACCUAUAACAUGGGGAUGUUAACAUACACUUUUGAAUUUGUUUUGUGGAUAAGGGAUAAUAUGUUUCUAUGGAUGCAGAUAUGAAUGUACAUGUUUUACUCAUACCCUGUGUUAGCCAAGAUUCUUGAUUCUAACUUUCAAAAAACAAUUCUAGUUAGUUUAAACAAAGAGAGGAUAGACUUAGAAUUCAGGGGUUUGAAGCUAGGUUUUAUAUAAAGACAGAUACCAGGAAUAAAUGUCAAGACUACCUGUGAUCUCUUCCUCUUUCUCUGCACCUGCUUCAUAAUCCACUUUCUUUUUCUAGAGAUUCAGAGUUCUGGGGUUUGCAUAUGACUCUUCCGAUCACUUCCAAAGAAUUACUAGCAGUCUCUGAGUCUUACAUUCAUUUCCAAAUUUAUGGGAGAGGAAACCCUCAAAGUCCCAGGUUUAGUAAGAUAUCCAUCCUGGUCUAACUUGCAGUGACCAGAGGACAGGCUCACUAUCACAAAAGUAAAUAUUGGGGGAAUUAUAAAUCAGGCAGGAAUGAACUUUCCAGAUGGGAAAUCACUGUGAACCGGGAAGACACUCUGUAAAUUGUUAAUCAAUCUCUAAGUUUUUCUCCACAGAGCAUUCAAGACAGAAGUAAGAUAUGUAAAGAUAUGACAUAAUGCCUAGCAAAUGGCAAGCAUUAGAUAAGAGGCCACAACUAUUAUACAAGUAAAAUCUAAAGAUAACUUUCAUCUAUGUCAUCAUUGAACCAGCUUUUAUUGAGGGCCAUAUUACAAUGUAGACAUUGGGCUUUUCCUGGAAAUAGUGAAGUUACUCUGGUCUCAGCCACUAGGAAGUUUUCUGUUACAUGGAAGAGAGUGACUAUAUCUUUUUCAUCUCUCCUGAACUCCCCCAAACACUGUCCUUUAUGAAAGGAUUUCUCUCUUCAAGAUAUGAUAAUUUUUCUAUGUUUUGGAACUCAAAAGAGACAGUCUUCCUAUGCAAUUUUCACAGUAAAUUAACUCCAUCAUUCCAGACAGGUAAGCAUACCAAUUGGUAGCAGUUCUCAUGCUCAUGAAUCUUUUGGUAAAAAAUAUCUCAAAUGGCUUUCAAUGUGAGCAUUAGUGUUGAGGGUCCACAUCACACACCUUUCUGAGUAGUGUGAUGAAACCUGGCACCAUCCUGCUCCAUCCCUCCUGGGGUGGGAAUCAUCCUUUUGUUCAGCUGUAUCCACAUUGUAUCUGCUACAUUAGUCACUUAGUAGCCACUUCUGGGGUCUUGACAUUCCUUCUGCCUUGAUUCUUGCGUUGGGGUGGCUGUCUGCAUGCAUAGUGGCCUGCUGGCACAUGGGAGGUGACCAUGUGCAAUGUGUUACUGGAGUUGUCCGCAUGCUCGCUUUAGGCGUUCUUCCCUUUCCGGUCAAACGUCCCUAGGAGGUGACAUACCUGUUGAACUCCACCAUUUUGCCUCUCA
rnacentral:lncRNA from 10 species